ACAUGCAAGUCGAACGAGAAGCCACCUUCGGUGUGGACAGUGGCAGACGGGUGAGUAACGCGUGGGAACGUGCCUUUCGGUUCGGGAUAACCCAGGGAAACUUGGGCUAAUACCGGAUACGCCCUCCGGGGGAAAGAUUCAUCGCCGAAAGAUCGGCCCGCGUCGGAUUAGCUAGUUGGUGAGGUAAUGGCUCACCAAGGCGACGAUCCGUAGCUGGUCUGAGAGGAUGACCAGCCACACUGGGACUGAGACACGGCCCAGACUCCUACGGGAGGCAGCAGUGGGGAAUAUUGGACAAUGGGCGAAAGCCUGAUCCAGCCAUGCCGCGUGGGUGAAGAAGGCCUUAGGGUUGUAAACCCCUUUCAGCGGGGAAGAUAAUGACGGUACCCGCAGAAGAAUCCC
rnacentral:rRNA from 1 species